rnacentral:rRNA from 1 species
AGAGUUUGAUCCUGGCUCAGGACGAACGCUGGCGGCGUGCCUAACACAUGCAAGUCGAGCGAUGAAAUCCUUCGGGAUGGAUUAGCGGCGGACGGGUGAGUAACACGUGGGUAACCUGCCUCAAAGAGGGGAAUAGCCUUCCGAAAGGAAGAUUAAUACCGCAUAAUAUGUUUUGGUCGCAUGACUAGAACAUCAAAGGAGCAAUCCGCUUUGAGAUGGACCCGCGGCGCAUUAGCUAGUUGGUGAGGUAACGGCUCACCAAGGCGACGAUCCCUAGCUGGUCUGAGAGGAUGACCAGCCACACUGGAACUGAGACACGGUCCAGACUCCUACGGGAGGCAGCAGUGGGGAAUAUUGCACAAUGGGCGCAAGCCUGAUGCAGCCAUGCCGCGUGUAUGAAGAAGGCCUUCGGGUUGUAAAGUACUUUCAGCGGGG